AGGUAAGCUACUAAGAGCGAAUGGUGGAUGCCUUGACUGGUAAAGGCGAUGAAGGACGUACUAGACUGCGAUAAGCUACGGGGAGCUGUCAAGAAGCUUUGAUCCGUAGAUUUCCGAAUGGGGCAACCCAAUGUAUAGAGAUAUACAUUACCUAUAUAGGAGCGAACGAGGGGAAUUGAAACAUCUUAGUACCCUCAGGAAAAGAAAUCAAUAGAGAUUGCGUCAGUAGCGGCGAGCGAAAGCGCAAGAGGGCAAACCCAGUGCUUGCACUGGGGGUUGUAGGACUGCAAUGUGCAAGAGGUGAGUUUAGCAGAACAUUCUGGAAAGUAUAGCCAUAGAGGGUGAUAGUCCCGUAUGCGAAAAACAAACCUUAGCUAGCAGUAUCCUGAGUAGGGCGGGACACGAGAAAUCCUGUCUGAAGCUGGGUCGACCACGAUCCAACCCUAAAUACUAAUACCAGAUCGAUAGUGCACAAGUACCGUGAGGGAAAGGUGAAAAGAACUGAGGUGAUCAGAGUGAAAUAGAACCUGAAACCAUUUGCUUACAAUCAUUCAGAGCCCUAUGUAGCAAUACAGGGUGAUGGACUGCCUUUUGCAUAAUGAGCCUGCGAGUUGUGGUGUCUGGCAAGGUUAAGCAAACGCGAAGCCGUAGCGAAAGCGAGUCUGAAUAGGGCGCUUAGUCAGAUGCUGCAGACCCGAAACGAAGUGAUCUAUCCAUGAGCAAGUUGAAGCUAGUGUAAGAACUAGUGGAGGACUGAACCCAUAGGCGUUGAAAAGCCCCGGGAUGACUUGUGGAUAGGGGUGAAAGGCCAAUCAAACUUCGUGAUAGCUGGUUCUCUCCGAAAUAUAUUUAGGUAUA
rnacentral:rRNA from 1 species